rnacentral:rRNA from 1 species
GACAGAGGGUGCAAACGUUGUUCGGAAUUACUGGGCGUAAAGGGCGCGUAGGCGGCCUGCUAAGUCGAACGUGAAAUCCCCGGGCUCAACCCGGGAACUGCGUCCGAUACUGGUGGGCUUGAAUCCGGGAGAGGGAUGCGGAAUUCCAGGUGUAGCGGUGAAAUGCGUAGAUAUCUGGAGGAACACCGGUGGCGAAGGCGGCAUCCUGGAUCGGUAUUGACGCUGAGGCGCGAAAGCCAGGGGAGCAAACGGG